rnacentral:rRNA from 1 species
CUACGGGAGGCAGCAGCAAGGAAUUUUCCGCAAUGGGGGCAACCCUGACGGAGCAACGCCGCGUGCGGGAUGACGUCUUUCGGGAUGUAAACCGCUUUUCUGGGGGAAGAAGAUCUGACGGUACCCCAGGAAGAAGCCCCGGCUAACUACGUGCCAGCAGCCGCGGUAAUACGUAGGGGGCAAGCGUUGUCCGGAUUUAUUGGGCGUAAAGAGCGCGCAGGCGGUCCGUUAAGUCUGGCGUGAAAUCUCCCGGCUCAACUGGGAGGGGUCGUCGGAGACUGGCGGACUGGAGGGCAGGAGAGGGAAGUGGAAUUCCGGGUGUAGUGGUGAAAUGCGUAGAUAUCCGGAGGAACACCGGUGGCGAAGGCGGCUUCCUGGACUGUACCUGACGCUGAGGCGCGAAGGCUAGGGGAGCGAACGGGAUUAGAUACCCCGGU